GGGUGGACGGCAAGGGUUCCAGGGGCUCCUGAAAUCAGUGCUGCCGUGUGUAAUGAGAAAGGCUUUGGCUGAGGUCACGGAGCACGAUGACAUCUGAGGUGCUCAUCGUAGGAGCUUUAUCUCCAUUGUACAGACAACGGACACACAGAGAGGGGCACUGCAACCCGGAUUCAGAAUCCAUCAGCCACCAACUUCCAAGACCUGUGCGAGUGACCUGAGGGAGACCCAGCCCCGGAGCAGGGCAGGGGAGCCAGUGAUAAACCAGUGCGCCCCCGAGGGGGCCCCC